AGAUAGCUAAGCUAAACAAGCUACACAACUAGCAAGGUAUGCACAAAGGUAAAGGAGAGGGGAGUGAUUGUUAUACCGACGUUGUAGAGUAGAAAUAUAUUCAAUCAAUCACGUGCACAAUCACAAGAGAGACCUCGGCAAGAGAUGACACAAGAUUUUUUACCGAGGUUCACUUGCUUCCCGGCAAGCUACUCCUCGUUGUGGCGAUACACC
rnacentral:lncRNA from 1 species